GGAGAGGUGGCCGAGUGGUCUAAGGCGCAGCACUGGAAAUGCUGUGUACGGUUAAUCGCCGUACCGCGGGUUCGAAUCCCGCCCUCUCCG
rnacentral:tRNA from 3 species